AGAAAGUAAAAGGAGUCAAUCUGGACCAUUUCCAUUCCCACUCUAACAAAAAUCUUGAUCCUAAAAGUGAUGUAUACGAUACCUGCUCUCCAGGAUGCUCUUUAGCCAAUUCAAAGCAUGAGAUUUUAUCAAGUAUUUAUCCUAAAAAUCCAACCAAUCAGUGUACACAAAAUUUCUGUCAAGAAUUUGGAAGUGUAAAUGUGGCAUCAGAGGACCUCAAUUCUGAAGAGAACACAUUAGGAAAAUCAUUUAAAAUUAUGCUGAUGAACAUUGCAGACGAAACUAAGAAAACUCAGCUCAUGAAGAGCUUGGAUUUUCUCCUCCAGUUGGUUAAAGGAAACCUAACGGGAAGGCAGAUUUGUUGACGAGUUGCCUUACAUACUAAAUGAUGAUGACUACAUAUCGAAGUAUCGAGCCAGCCUAAAAGCUGCAGUUCUCAGGGCAAAAGCAUGUUCUUGAGCUUUAUUUGAAGGGUAUGAUGUUUGCAUAUCAGCUCACGCUCAACCACCACCUAAAACUCUAUCCCUGAUAGUCAAGUCAACCGGUGGAAAUGUGAUUCAUGAGCUAGAUAAAGUAAACAACGUAUGGAAGACGAUCUUUGUGGCUUGUGAGGAAGACGUGGAGGAAGCCUUGGUGGCCGUACAAAAAGGGAUAUGGACUUUCAACGUUGAAUGGCUAAUGGCAUGUAUAAUGAGACCAGAAGUUGACCUGGAGGCCCCUCAAUUUGCUGAGUCCCUAUGAGAAACAAGGUCACCCUAACUUUCAGUUUUGAACAAGCAGCAGCCAGCCAUUUCGUCCUUGUGUAAAUCCACUCUUUUCUCAACUCACUCUAAUUUGGUACAUAAACAAACUCUGAUCGCUCCAUCUCUAUAUUCAUCAGUACAUAAAAGACGAUAAGUUUAUUCAUGGAGAAAGUUGGAUGUAAGUAUGUUUUAGGAAUGGUCCUUCAUUUAGUAACUUUGGGAAUUGUAAAAAUGAGGUAAUGAAGUUCUAUCAAGUUGAAUGUUCUUGUUUAUGUUGGAUGAGACUGAUUCUUGGAUACCAGAAUUAACUUGAAGUACGUGUUUGAGUU